rnacentral:rRNA from 1 species
GACGUAGGGCGCGAGCGUUGUCCGGAUUUAUUGGGCGUAAAGAGCUCGUAGGCGGCUUGUUGCGUCGACUGUGAAAACCCGCGGCUUAACUGCGGGCUUGCAGUUGAUACGGGCAGGCUAGAGUUCGGUAGGGGACCACGGAAUACCUGGUGUAGCGGUGAAAUGCGCAGAUAUCAGGUGGAACACCGGUGGCGAAGGCGGGUCUCUGGGCAGUAACUGACGCUGAGGAGCGAAAGCGUGGGGAGCGAACAGG